rnacentral:misc_RNA from 1 species
CUUCCGACACAGGAGCUCUCGGACAUUCGUUGGCGCGUGCCUGACCAACCAGUGAGUUCGUUGAUUGAGACGAUCUUUUGCGGCGGCGGUCCCAUGCGUGCAUCGGCGCGAGGUGCUUCUAGCUCAGGAUAUUUCGGCGGAGAUAAACCAGCAGGCAGUCGGCCGAGCAUCACCAAUUCAAGAGAAGCCAGGCGGUGAAAACUGUACCCGGUGCCUCCAACAAAGACAACCCGCCACGGAGGUGACUGUGAUGUGAGCUCUCAAACCUCAUCAGUGCGCCGUAUUCUGUCCAGUUGAUCGGUAGCUGGUGACUGCGUCACAGCAGUGGACCUUCGGCACCCCGUGACGUCAUCGGGGCGGGGUUCAGCGUUCUUUACUGAGCGCUAAAAGGCAUCAGGCAGCUGCAAAGUGGUUUGUCUGGGUGUGAGCACCUCGGCUUCUGAGGCAGCUCUGGCCUUCAGCAGGCGUCUCACAGACACAGCUGUCAGCGGCAUGUUCGACGACGGACCUCAGCUGGCCAGGCCCUAAGGCGGGGCACGGCAGCUGGACACGGUAGCAGGAGUGAGCGGCGGCCGCUCUGCGAAACCGUGCCGAAGCCACAAGCCUUGAAAGGAUGGCCCGAGGGGAUGCUCCUAGGAGUUGUGCUCUUCCUCUUCGUGACCUCGCAGAACUCUUCGCCGGUGCCGCUGGGCAACAUCUCGACACAGGUCAUCGAUGUCGACGUUAACAGCACGGAGUCGCCCCACAAUGCGACAGGGGCGUUCUCAAGCGAGACCCAGGGCAGCUACCUAGCCACGCCUCGUCUCCCGCCCAUCGGACGCAGGCCCUGGAACGGUACGCUGCCAAAGACGGUCAAGCUGACGCUGAUGCCGGACACCUCGAGCCUCUCCGAUGACGACCUGCUGGAGCUGACGAUGGUAAAGGUGGUGCGCGUGUCGCCGGCGCCGCGCUCCUCGCGGGCGUUCGUCAGCGACUGCAGUUAUGACCCCACCAUGCCGGCCUCGUCGACGGCCGCGCUGGACGGCGUCGAAUCCUCGGAAGACAGGUGUCAAUCCUGCGAGCUAGACGACGACGGCCUGCCACUGGACGACGAGCAGGAGCUGGCACCGGGGGAAAAGGAGGACGCCGCCGCCGAACAGAUCUUCAUCGACGGGCUGGACGCGCUCCUGGCGCGCCAGGCGCUGCAUAAGGCGCUGAGGGUCGGACUGUUGGACGCGGGCACGUUCAGCGCCGAGGAACGGCGGCGACGGCCACUAGCCGACCAGGCGGCGGCGCUGUGCAAGUGUCUGGUCAACAAGGACGAAACGACGUGCAGCGGCAAGACGAGCUUCUGCGACACGCUGCCGCAAACGAAGGUGCCUUCCGGCAUCCUUGACGUCAGCGAGACAAACAUCUCGCACCUGGCCGCGCACAGCCUCGAAUUUUUCCGUGCCGUGUCAGUCCUGAAGCUGGAGAACAACCAGCUGGGCAGCAUCGACGACGGAGCCUUCUUCAACAUGUCUAGCCUUCGCAACCUCAGCCUGUCGCAGAACAGGCUGACCGACCUGGGGGAGAAUGUUCUAAAGGGCGCCAGCAAUCUGGUGGAGCUACUGGUGUCUUACAACAAGUUUAACAAUCUUUCUAUGGUGACCCGUGCUACGACGGCUAUCACGGCGCCAUCACUGCUACAUCUCAGUAUCGGUGGCAACAAUUUCUCCGUCGUUCGGCGACAGGACUUCGCCGCAAUGAGGAACGUACCAAUUCAGGAUCUACAGCUGCACGAAAACCGCAUCCAGCACAUUGAACCGUACGCCUUUAAGGACCUGAAGCAUUUACGACGGCUUAGAUUGCGGCGUAAUCAUUUGGAGAUUGCAGAGGUGGUGGAAAUGAUCACAGCGAUGCAAAAUAGCACACUGGAGGUAAUUGACCUAUCCAUGAUCGGCAAGUACAGCAUAGUGGAACUCAGACCGGUUCUGGACGCUAUAGCAAACAGCAGCAUCACCGCCCUCCAGCUGAAUCACUACUGCUUUCCCUUCCUGUUCAAAAUCCAUUUUCCCGCGCUGGACAAACUGAAAGUCCUCACAUUGGCUCAGUGUGGGAUCUCCGUGAUUUACGAGAACACCUUUGAAGAAUUCGUCUCCCUGGAGCAGUUGGACCUCAGCGACAACUAUCUCUCCUACGUGCCGUCGGCCGUUCUCCUGCCGAACCUGCACUCACUGGACCUGUCACGUUCUGAGCAGCUGCCCUACUUCUCCAGGUUCAGCUUAUACCAGUAUCGCUUCCGCGACAUGGUAAAUUUGAGAUACCUAGACCUGUCGAACAACCGUAUCGUAAACCUGGAGCGAGGCGCCUUUGUCGGGCUCGAAAACCUAACCGUUCUGAUGAUGAAGAACAGCGAAAUUCGCCAAGUUGCCAAUUUCACAUUUAGUAUGAUGGAAAACCUUUCGGAGCUGUAUCUCAGCAACAAUCCACUCAACAACCAGGUGUUCGAGUACACUUGGCAAGGUCUUACCAAGUUGGCCGUCCUCUUUCUCGACAACUGCACAAUAUCGACUUCAGACCUGUACCUGAGGGAGACACCCCGCCUGGAGAUCCUGAACAUGAAGAACAACUUCAUUCAGACUCUGACGCAUGCCACGUUUGGUCACCUCCGCUUCCUCAGCGCGGUAGACCUGUCUCACAACGACCUCUUGCCGUGGGAGGAGCGCGUAUUUGACUUCCCGCCGAACCUCACGCGGGUCUACCUCAGCCACAACUCCAUCACGCACGUCACCACCGCCAUGGUCGACGACUUCCAGAACCUUCGCCUGCUAAAGCUCGGCUUCAACCCGUACAGGUGCACGUGCGAGCUGUACGAGUGGCUCCUCUGGGAGGAGGCGAACAGUCCCAGCUACGGUGUUCUGUAUCCGGUCACCUCUGACAUCAAGGACUGCGUGUGCGACAGUCCGCGAGUCUUCCGCAACAUCUCCGUGCUCGACUUUUACAGCCUGUCCAACAAGUCGCCCUGCGCCGUCGAGCCGUCCACGAGGAUGCUGUUCACCCUGCUGCCGGUCGCCGUCAGCGGAAUGCUGGUUGCUGUGGGGAUUCGGCUCCUGUACAGAAACCGUUGGUACCUGCGCUACUGGCUAUUCAAGCUGACAUCGAAGCGGUGGGUGAAGAAGCUUCGAAAGGACUCCAGUGGAUACCUGUACGACGCAUUCGUCAGCUACUCGAGCGAAGACGCCGACUUUGUUCUGGAAAUGAUCGAAAAUCUUGAAAAAAUCAGCCCAUAUUACCGUCUGUGUGUCUACGAGAGGGACUUUGAGAUAGGAAAUGUGAUAAGCGAGUGCAUACUGGAGAGCAUCACAACAUCCAGGAAGACGAUACUGAUCCUCACGGACCACUUCGCCAAGUCGCACUGGUGCCGCUGGGAGAUGAACCUCGUCCAGUGCCGGCUGUUCGAGCAGACGCGGGACGACCUGAUCCUCGUCAAGCUCGGCAAGAUACGCAGGCGCCACCUCACGCCCACCAUCCGCUACCUCAUGCGCACGCGCAUCUACAUCGAGUGGGGGCCCAGCGCGCAGCAGCAGCAGCUCUUCUGGGAACGACUGCGGACGGCGCUCAGGCGCCCCGGCGGGCUUCCGCACCUGCCGAGGACGGUGUGACGGGCUGCCGCAGCUGUGCUGGGUUCAUCGUUAUCCCGGCGUCCAGCGCCGCCGCGCGAGGGACGAUGCGGCGAGCUGUGACGCACCGCAACCGCGGUGGAUCGUGAAGAGCGCUGCCCGCGGUGGCCGGACUGUACAACGGAAGUUUGGAAGUUGGAAACCGUUUUUUGGAAGUUUGGGCUCCUGGCCUGGCUGGUUCCAUGGAACUCCUAGCAUAUGCAAGUGGCUAAGAACACUCCCUGUUGCAUUAAGACCUCACAAGAUAUACUCAGGGAUUCUCAAGUGAUCUACAAUCAGCACGCGAACGCGUCAGAGGGCAGUCCAAUUUCAAAGUGCGACCUGGCUUGGUGCUGCGGUGGCUCAUCGAGCAGGAUGCGAGACCCUCUGCUUGGCCGGGUUGUGACACCAGGUUUGCAUUCGGCGGGAAGCACCUCUAACUGGGGGAGACCUGACUUGUGUGGCCUGGGACCUGGUAAGAGUUGACAUGCGACCUGGUGAAAGGUGACCUGGGACCUGGUGAGAGUUGCAGGCCCGUGAGGGGUGCUCGAUGAAAUCGACGUGUCGUUGCUGACUCGCUGUGACUUUUCUGGGGAACGGCCGUGCCGAGAAUGUGAACGAGUGGAUCUUCAUGGACACGAGAGCUUAAAAGUGGUGAUUGCUGUAAACUUCCGGACCGCGCAUGCGCGGAUCUGUAAGAACUUGAAAGUGGGACGACACAUGUGCUGUGGUGUCAUAUGCUUGUUAGAGCUGUAGGACUCACGAUACUGGUCGAGAUUAGCGCGCUGGGAACUAUACUCCUUGGCCUUCGAUGUUCACGCGGCACCGAUGUCACCGUUUCAUAGUAGCCAUCAUAUGCUGCUGCAAAUGCCGCAGGAUAUCUCACCAGCGUCUGUGCGAGCGGUUCAGAAAAUAAGGUAGAAGUACAAAUGGGGCGCGUUGUGGACGGGAGCAUCAGGUGUCAACUGCGACAUGCGUGAACAGGUUGUCGGUAUUGACUGCUAGGCCGGCUCGGGCUAACUUGCUUCAAUAGUGUUGUGUGGCGCUUGUGAUGUUUCCUUGGGCAUACAUGUAGAAAUACAGU